rnacentral:rRNA from 1 species
AGUAACACGUGCAUAACCUACCUAUAAGACUGGGAUAACUUCGGGAAACCGGAGCUAAUACCGGAUAAUAUUUUGAACCGCAUGGUUCAAAAGUGAAAGACGGUCUUGCUGUCACUUAUAGAUGGAUCCGCGCUGCAUUAGCUAGUUGGUAAGGUAACGGCUUACCAAGGCAACGAUGCAUAGCCGACCUGAGAGGGUGAUCGGCCACACUGGAACUGAGACACGGUCCAG